rnacentral:sRNA from 1 species
UUGUUGGUAUCUGGCAUCUGACAAGAGGCGAUGAUAUCUGCCAUAACGGCGAAGCAGAAGUACUUUCCGGACCGUUACAAUCGCCAGUUUAAA